rnacentral:ncRNA from 1 species
GGAGUAAAGCUUGCUGUGAGAAAUCAGCAGACGCCAUAGUACGCAAGCCGCAACAGCGGCGAGCAGAAGGGC